AAUGUAAAAAAAUCAGUUGGGUUAUGUUUUAACUCUGUCACUUAUUUGUGCUUUUCUGAGAGUUCAGGCUGGUUUUAGCACAGCAUAAAAAAGAUUUAGACCAAUCUUUUCUGGAAGGCCUUGCAAACACGCAGAACAGAAAUGAGGGAGCUGGGCUGUCCUGGGGCAGGGUCAAGACUCUACUCGCUGCAGAAGAGUUGAAAUUGUUCAGCUGGUGGAGGUUUGCCUUGGUCAAAGGUUCUGCAAAGUUUUUUCCCCUUCUGAAUCGCGUGCACUCCUGCCUGUCGGAUUUCCAACCGUGUUAUUCUUGGACUGCCACGUUGCAGUGAAGAUGGAAGGCUGAUUAGCAAGAGGGAGCUCAGGAAACACAUCUUCCCCUCCACCUUUGCCUCUUGUCCUGAUAGAUUUUCUCAUUCAACAUGCAUGUGAGUGUUCAGCAAGCAUUUAAGAGCAUGGUGUGUGGAAGGCAAUAUUGGGCAGUUGCCAUGCAUUUUCAGCGCUUGAAAGCUUGACCUGCAUCCUAAAGGCAAGAACACAAAAUUUAGCUCUGUAUGGAAGGACCAAGUUGAAUCCUAGCCUACAUCCUCAAGUGCCACCUUGACCAGUUGUGGGGUGAUAUCAGUACAGAUGGUCAGCGUAAAGAAGUGUCUCCACGGAUCCGGGGGGAACCAAUGAGCAACUUUGCAUGGUGCUCCAAUGCUUGAGGCAUUGAUUUCGGCAGUAACUCGUAUUGAGAGUCCAUCUGAGAUGCUUCCAAACGACUGGGGUGUCUUCAACAAUAUGCUGAUGCAAAAAUCGGAUGUAAUACAUCUUGUCAGGUAUCAGAAUUACUAGUUCUUUCUGUCUUGUUGACAUCAGUCAGAUGUUUAUCUUUUGGUAUCUGGCAAAUGUCUUGGAACAAUCAGUUUAAAAUGUUUCAACAAUUCUCAUUUGGAAUUUUUUACUCUUGACUCCCUCUCUGAAAACGAUCUGUUGUAAAAGGAACAAAAAAAUCUUACACUAUCCCUGGUUUUAUCAUUACAGUAGCUUUCUCUCAGGAAGAUGUUUGGCAUGGAAAAUUAUUAACUUUCAAUCCCAGAUCUCCAGGUUUUCUGAGUCAUUUGAAUUCUAGCCUCGUAUCCUUUUUUACUUACUAGGGAUCACACAGAUGAUUGAUUGAAUUGCAAACACUGAAUAGUGUAUGUUCUCUGGGACUCAUUAAAACUUAGGACCAAGGUCCUGUUUUUAUUUACCUCUUUCCAAAAUCGACAUCGCCUCAAAUAAAAUCUUCUGGCAGGAUUUCCAGAAACUUUGAGCGUUCUGUCACCCCAAAUGAAUAGAAAUUGCGGUUGCUCUGUUAUUUUCCGUCUAACAAAAAUUAGGUCCUUGUCUUAAAUGAAAGUUCAUAGCUGACGUGCCUUUCUUUUUCGGUCCUCCAUCUCCGGCGGUGUGCCUGUUGCAUGUUAACGUGGCCGAGAUGUAGUGAGCGGUUGCAGCAGUUUGCAAUCAGUCCACAUUUUUCAAAGUCCUGUCAGACUUUCAGCUCAUCAGUAUUCAUGUAGGGGUAAUCACACCUGCAAAAUUUGAAUUACCAUGUUGAUAAGUCUGUGACAGAAAUGGACUGUGACUGAAUCUGCUACAAAAUUGAUAAGCCCUUGCGGGGAAGAAUUGGAUAAAAGGGAGACACCUGCUAAUACACACUUGUUUUGAACCGGGCAGAUAUAAAACAUGUCUCCUUGACAUCCCUGUUCCCAAGGCAUCGUUCAGAGAUUACAUCAAGAAAUGGAAAGAGUCCUUCAACCUCUGGGUGUCUACUUACGCACUAAAUUGCUGAGCCACCACCCUGCUGAGGUUUGGCCUCUGCCAGGAAAUUUUUGGAAAGACUUAGGGGCUUCAAAGUACUGACAAAGAUGUCACUGGUUACAUGUGGAGACAGCUUGGGUUUCACCUUAGGAAAAGAUUUUUCCUUAUUAAAUUCCCAAUUUAAAUAAAUGAAGUGUGUCAGCAAUCCUAAACAGCAUUCAACCUCACCGGUGAACUAAGGAUAGGACUUUUUCACGAGUUAAUUGAAACUCAUAGACAUACCGAGCCUGUUACUUCACAUGCAUGCAACUAAAAGUCUUAGUUAUAACUUCAUUAGUUUAAAAAUAGGAAAGAAAAAAAAAAAGGAAAGAAGAGUAUAUCUUCUGGCCUAGACUAGUUGCCUAAGUACAUAAAAUGUACAUAGCUCGGACUUAAGCUGCUAGCUAUUUGCAACAGGGAAUAUUUUUUCGUUGCUGUGAGUGUUUAAAAUUGAUGAAGUGAAGAUCAGUGCCAAUUACGAAAGGGGCUGUGGUUUUUAAUGCAUUGGUGUCUUCCAGCUCACAGCGACGGGUGCAAAUAGUGUUUUCCUGUUGCAUCUAAAACACGAAGGACCGUGCACAAAGAAGCCCAUGUAUAUUUAUUGCUAAUUAUGUAUUUUUUUGUUUAAUGAAAGGGUCCUGUCUCCUGUCAGAGGGCUUAAUGAAAUGUUAAUUUUUGCUACUAAUCAACUUGAAACAUAAUAAGCAGCGGCUCGCUAACAAAUAAGUGAACUUUGUGUUUGCCCUGUACUCUUCUGGAAGACUUCCAGGUUCUUCCUAAUGCAAUCCAUCUCUCUUGCAGAAUACAGGAAAGCAGGAGCUCAGCAAAACAGAUAUAAAUCCAUCACCUUUCGAGCAGUGUGUGACCAAUUAAAUACUUACCCUACUAAUACCGUUACUUUAGCCUUUGAAUUUCAUCAUUGCGGGUUUUCUUCUAACUAGCUCUGCAAAGGUUAUUGUGUGCUCUCAAAUGCUCUCCUGAUAAAUAAAGCUGAUAAAAAUCUCUGUCAAAUAUAAUAACUCACCUACCUAAA